GGGAGGUCAUGUGACGGUUCUCCUCGAAUUUCUUCUGGGCUUCGGUGGCGGACUCCCGGAGCAUAAUGGUGUCGCCGGCAAAAGUCUGUAUGCCCUGAUUGCUUCGAUCCCCAUUCUCCCUCAGCACCACGUUGUUAGCAAUUUUCUUGUAAUCAAAUCCCUAAUUCUUUUCAAAUCCCUAAUUCUUUUCCUGUAAUCAAAUCGUCAAAUUGGGUGAAAUAGGCGAAUACUUUUGGGGAAAACAAAAGAGGUAAGAUAAGAGGGAUUUUGGUGCAAACAUAAUGAAGAAAUUAAGAGAUAAUUUUUUCUUGAUUUUCUGUAAUAUUAUGAGAGAAUUGGUAGAGAGAGAAAGAGAGCG
rnacentral:lncRNA from 1 species